UAUUCUGAGGAUUCGAUCCUGGUCCAGGAUGAACGCUGGCGGCGUGGAUAAGGCAUGCAAGUCAUACGGUACUGAGGUCGCAAGACCGAAGUGCAGUGGCGAAUUGGUUAGUAACACGUAGAUAAUCUGCCUCGAGGACAGGCAUAGUCCCGCGAAAGCGGGAAUAAUUCCUGAUAGUAAUGAGGGGGCGAAAGCCAUUCUCAUUUAAAGCCGCAAGGCACCUCGAGAUGAGUCUGCGUCCUAUCAGCUAGUUGGUAGGGUAACGGCCUACCAAGGCGAUGACGGGUAGGGGGGAUGAGAGUCUGUUCCCCAACAAGGGCACUGAGACAUGGGCCCUACUCCUACGGGAGGCAGCAGUCGAGAAUAUUCGGCAAUGGGGGAAACCCUGACCGAGCGACGCCGCGUGAGCGAAGAAGGCCUUCGGGCUGUAAAGCUCUUUUCUUUGGGAAGAAGUCGCCGCUGAGGCGACUGACGGUACCAGAGGAAUAAGGGGAUGCAAAUUCUGUGCCAGCAGCCGCGGUAAGACAGAAUCCCCAAGCGUUAUCCGGAUUUAUUGGGCGUAAAGCGCCUGUAGGCGGCAGGACAAGUCUUUAAUUAAAACUCAAGGGCUCAACCUUUGAGUUGUUAAAGAUACUAUCCAGCUAGAGGGCAUUAGGAGCUGACGGAACGGUCGGUGUAGGGGUGAAAUCCAUUGAUAUCGACCGGAACACCAAAAGCGAAGGCAGUCAGCUAAGAUGACCCUGACGCUGAGAGACGAAAGCGUGGGGAGCAAAAAGGAUUGGCAUGGGUAUCCAAUUUCAUGGUAAAAUGAGGUUGGUAGCUAGUCCCUUCUAUUGGCAACAAUAGAAAGAAAACUUGGCUAUAUCGGUAAAAAUCCAUUAGAAAAAUGGAAAAUACCGAGGGAAGCGAGCGCUCAAGCGCUUCGCCCCGUAGAGACUAUACGCCGAGGUCGCCUUUGGCGACAUGAUAUAGUCCGAACUGCACGGUAACGCGCAGAGCACGACAGAAAUGUCCUGCCUAUCUGAUUUAAUAUAAUCAGGUUAGUAACAUUUUGUAGAUACCCUUGUAGUCCACGCCCUAAACUAUGGAUACUGGCUGCUUGAAGUGUCGACCCUUCAAGUGGCGAAGCUAACGCGUUAAGUAUCCCGCCUGGGAAGUACGGCCGCAAGGCUAAAACUCAAAGGAAUAGACGGGGAUUCACACAAGCGGUGGACCAUGUGGCUUAAUUCGACAACAAACGAGGAACCUUACCAGGGCUAGAAAUCCCAUUAAAAUCCCGUAGAAAUACGGGGCUACCCACAAGGAUAAUGGGACAGGUACUGCAUGGUUGUCGUCAGCAGGUGCCGUGAGGCGCUCCUUUAAAUAGGGAAACCUGCGCAACCCUUACGCCGUGUUUUAAAUGUCACGGCGAACUGCCCGGGAUAACUGGGAGGAAGGUGAGGAUGACGCCAAAUCAGCAUGGUCCUUUGAUGCCCUGGGCUGCACACGUGGUACAAUGGAGCCGACAAUGGGUUGCCAAGCCGCAAGGCGGAGCUAAUCCCAGCAAACGGCCCCUCAGUUCGGAUUGAGGGCUGCAAUUCGCCCUCAUGAAGCCGGAAUCGCUAGUAAUCGGGAAUCAGCUAUGUCCCGAUGAAUAUGUUCCUGAAUCUUGUACUCACAAUAAAAGCGCUCGGCAGCUUAAUAUUCUAGGUGGUCAAAAUCCACACCUCUCUU
rnacentral:rRNA from 1 species